rnacentral:rRNA from 1 species
AGAAUCAACGCUGGCGGCGUGCCUAACACAUGCAAGUCGCACGAGAAAGGGUAGCAAUACCUGAGUACAGUGGCGCACGGGUGAGUAACACGUGAAUAAUCUACCUCCGAGUGGGGAAUAACCUAGGGAAACCUGGGCUAAUACCGCAUAACACUUACGAGUCAAAGCAGCAAUGCGCUUGGAGAGGAGUUCGCGGCAGAUUAGCUAGUUGGUGGGGUAAUGGCCCACCAAGGCGAUGAUCUGUA